rnacentral:rRNA from 1 species
UACGUAGGGUCCGAGCGUUGUCCGGAAUUAUUGGGCGUAAAGAGCUCGUAGGCGGUUCGUCGCGUCUGCCGUGAAAUCCUCAGGCUCAACCUGAGGCGUGCGGUGGGUACGGGCGGGCUAGAGUGCGGUAGGGGAGAAUGGAACUCCUGGUGUAGCGGUGGAAUGCGCAGAUAUCAGGAAGAACACCGAUGGCGAAGGCAGUUCUCUGGGCUGUAACUGACGCUGAGGAGUGAAAGCGUGGGGAGCGAACAGG